CCUACGGGAGGCAGCAGUGGGGAAUAUUGGACAAUGGGGGCAACCCUGAUCCAGCCAUGCCGCGUGUGUGAAGAAGGCCCUCGGGUUGUAAAGCACUUUCAGUGAGGAAGAACGCCUGGUGGUUAAUACCCAUCAGGAAAGACAUCACUCACAGAAGAAGCACCGGCUAACUCCGUGCCAGCAGCCGCGGUAAUACGGAGGGUGCGAGCGUUAAUCGGAAUUACUGGGCGUAAAGCGCGCGUAGGGGGCUUGAUAAGCCGGUUGUGAAAGCCCCGGGCUCAACCUGGGAACGGCAUCCGGAACUGUCAAGCUAGAGUGCAGGAGAGGAAGGUAGAAUUCCCGGUGUAGCGGUGAAAUGCGUAGAGAUCGGGAGGAAUACCAGUGGCGAAGGCGGCCUUCUGGACUGACACUGACACUGAGGUGCGAAAGCGUGGGUAGCAAACAGGAUUAGAUACCCUGGUAGUC
rnacentral:rRNA from 1 species